ACAACAUAACCAUAAGAAUCCCUGACCUCCACAUCUCCCGCACUCAGGAGCAGGCAUAUUGUUCAAAAGUCCAAGUGGUGCUCCAAAUCACUUGGAGGCAGCCAUUGCUUCCAGGUAGGUGCUCCUCCCACUGGUCUCAGCAGACCUGCUGGGCGCCAUUGUGCCUUGGUGACAAAGUGAUAAAGGUUAGGCAAACAAGGUCUGAAUCCCUGCCAAGAGUCAGGAAAUAAGCAGACAUUCUCAGGUGAUACUUAGCUGCCCUGGAAAAAAAAAAAAAGUAAUAAUAAGAUUGGGCCACAGGAUAAAGGGAAGUUAGCAGGCUUCCUGUUUUAAACAGGAUGGCCCAAAUGGGUGAUGUUGAAGACCUGAGGAGCCAGAGGAAGCCAGUUGUGCAAAACUCUGGGGAAGAGCACAGAGUGACAACUGCAGACACGGGCCUGAAGGAGAACUAGUCUACAAAGGCCGGGGACAUUGGUAGGCAGAGAAUUCCCAAGAAAAGAGGCCAAAACCACAGAAGAGCCAUGUUCAAGGAUGGGAAGCCUCAACACUACCUACAGAUCAUCUUUUAAAAAUUGAGAAUUUCCUGGUCCCUAAGCAGACUAAGUCUCUGAAACAGGAUAAAUCUGAAGACUCCCAGAGAUGUCACCAAGGACCCCGGUGUUCCGGUUCUUGUAACUCACCCGGCCCCAUCCAUCGCAUGAGGAAUAUGAAAGAUGGCUGAGCUUUUGUGGCACACAUCUGUAACCCCAGCAAGACGACUAGAGUUCCGGGGCCAUCUUGGCUAUAUAGGAAGUUCUCAGACAGCAUCUGGCUACAUAGAAUCCUGGCCCAGAGAACCAUUAAACUAAAAAGGAGCCGGGCAGCACUCAGUAGAGGCAGGCAGAUCUCUGAGUUCAAGGCCAGUCUGGUCUACAGACCUAGUUCCUGGACAGCCAAAGAUACACUAAAAAAAAAAGAACAAAAACACCAACACCACCACCAACAACAACAACAAAACCCAAAACCCUGUCUUUAAAAAAAAAAAAAAAGUAGCUAGAGUGGUUGGAUUACCAUUGACUAAAUUCCUUUUCAAAAAUGUGAUUAGAAAAAAUCUCAUUGGUUUGGUUUCAUUUACACUGGUACAAAUCAGAAGGGACAGAUACAUUUACAUGUCUAUCCAAGACAUUCUGAGUUCCUAACCGUAUGCUGCUGUGCCCGGGGCUUCAUGUUCAGGGGAGAACAAGUCAGACAUACAGUCCUCUGUACAGACUGAUGAGUCUGUACUCUUGAACAGAAGGCCCUGUACGGUGUAUUGGAGAAUGACUAAAUGUCUCGGGGUGGUGAAGAGCACUGAGAGCAGUCUCAAGUCUUGACAAACAGUACCAAUUAAGAACACGACACUGCUGAAGAAGGGUCGCUCACAACUUGGAAAUACGGCCAGACGCACAUGGAAUCAUGCUUUCAGCAUCAGAGCCUGAGCACCGUUUAACAAAGGGAUGGGUGACUUGGCUAAGAGAAUGUUAUCUCUGGCUCUCCUAUUAGCUUUUGGUGGGAAGGCCUUGUAGUCCAUGGAGUUUAACAUUAACUGUAGACCUAUGACAAAGAUUCCAGUGACUUCAGGAUAGGAGAGAGAUAACCAACAAUUGCUUGAUUCUGUCUCACCGGAAAGGACUUCGCUGAGCCAAUCCCUUUAUCCCCAGAGGUCUGCUAAUGCUUUUGACUGGCGUUAGCGGCCGCUUUGGCCACCUCAUAAAUGAAGAAAGAUCUUUGUCACAUUUGUAUAAGAGCCUGGAGUUUAACUUUGGGGAUAUUAUUUCUGUGGCCCUUUGGUAGAACCUUUAGAGCCAUGUAAAAAAAAUCAUAGUUUGGGGAAAAUGUCAUGCUUUGGGAAGUACCUUUUAAAGUGUGUGUGUGUGUGUGUGUGUGUGUGUGUGUGUGUGUGUGUGGUAUGUUUCCAGAUUCAUCAGUAUAUAAUCAUAGAAAGGCAGGAAGAGGGAAAGCAAAGUAUUAAUAGCAACUGCUCAUUUGGGGAUCAUGGGUCACUUUACAACUCAUAGAUUUUUAUUUCUUCCCAGGUCUGCAGUGACUCUGCCUCACUGACUGUUCUUAAGGCCCCGGGAUUCAGUGAAGUUUACUUUCCUUGUCUUCCUUCAGUGCAAGUGUUAGGUUGGAAAAUCAAACUUGAACAGGACCUGGCUCCCUCUUCCUCAAGGAACCCCAUGCCCAACAAAAGAACCUACUCCUUUCUGUGAAACCCAGUUUCCCUUUAGAGACAAGAGCGUUGAAAGAAGGCUUCGUCUGCUGGCUGGAGGACCAGUUCUUGCAGGGAUGGGGCGGGGGCUGCAGCCUGCCCAGCCCGUACAUACCAGGGUGUCUCUAGCUUGAUUUAAAAAACGCUGACGGGGGGCUGGGGAUUUAGCUCAGUGGUAGAGCGCUUACCUAGGAAGCACAAGGCCCUGGGUUCGGUCCCCAGCUCCGAAAAAAAGAACCAAAAAAAAAAAAAAAAAAAAACGCUGACGGUUGGUACAGCAAGCACCCCUCUGGAGUCAGCCCAGCUCUCCAGCCACUGCAGGGCUAAGGCUUAGUAAGCUCUCCCCGGUCAAAAUGACAGAAGCCAGGCAUUGCCCCUCCGGGACCGUCCCUUCCGCGAAAUCCUAUGAGAGCCUCUGAGGGAUGCGGCCCGGGAAGGAGUGGUGUCUGGGAAAACAGUUGUGAGAAACAGACAUUAUCCAGCGUCCAAACUGGAAGCGCGGAGCCAAUCCCAUUUUCUUCACAUAUGGGGAAACUGAGACCAAGAGGAGGUGGGCGAUGGGUGAGGUGGAAAGAAAGCUCCUGUUUCCAGUAUCCGGAGAUCUUCGUUGUGGGGCAUACCUAAACACAUCUGGUUUUUCGUUAGUGAACUUCACCUUACGAACUGCAUAAUGGGUGCGCAUCGCCCUUUAUGGUCUUUUAGUUGGGUCGCUGCCAACGCAGGGAUGCUAACUGUACUUCAGAGAUAACCAGUAAACCUCCCUACCCUA